rnacentral:rRNA from 1 species
CUACCCUUCAUCCUCCGGUUCAAGCGUGCCCAAUCGAAUAUCGACCAUGUUGGCCUCACUACCCUGCUGGACCGUUGGAGUCCCGAGACACACAGUUCCAACCUUCCUUGUGGCGAGAUGACAAUCAUCCUGGAGGACUUCGCCAUGAUCGCGGCACUUCCCGAUCAACGGUGA